rnacentral:RNase_P_RNA from 1 species
CGAAGUAGACCAGAUGGCCGCCGCCCUCCGGGGGGGAGGAAAGUCCGGGCUCCACAGGGCAUGGUGCUGGAUAACGUCCAGCGGGGGUGACCCCAGGGAAAGUGCCACAGAGAGAAGUCCGCCCGCCUAGGCGGGUAAGGGUGAAAGGGUGAGGUAAGAGCUCACCGGGUCCGGCGGCGACGCCGGAUGCCAGGUAAACCCCACCAGGAGCAAGACCAAAUAGGGAAGCGUUAAGGACGGCCCGUCCGUGCUUCCGGGUUGGUUGCUUGAGGUCGCCGGCAACGGCGAUCCUAGAUGAAUGACCAUCGCCCGCCUCCGGGUAACCGGCUGCGGGAACAGAACCCGGCUUACGGGCUGCUUCGGCCA